rnacentral:tRNA from 1 species
GGAGCCGUGCCCGAACGCCUAGGGGCCACUUUGAUAGGGUGAACCACGGGGGUUAAACUCCCCCCAGCUCC